rnacentral:lncRNA from 10 species
GCAGCUGCGCGGCGUCCUUGGAGGCAGGUGCUGGCGGCAAGACGAGCUCUCGGAGGAUGCUGCGGCGCGGGGCGCGUCGCCCCCCUCAGUCCACCAGAGCCCGGAUACCUCAGAAAUUCGGCUCUGGGUCUGUGGGGAGCGAAAUGCAACCCAAACCCCGUUUUUCGAACCCCGCGCAAAUAAACACGCACAAGCACGCACACAGACGUCGCGCGGCGGCGCUCGCGCGCAGGUCCAGCCGCGGCUGGGUCGGGCGCGGCGGCCGGGCGCGAGGGAAGAGCCCAGGCCCGAGAGGGGUCGCCGCUUACGUCUCGCAGCCCGAGGGGAGGCCGCUCGGCCUCGGCCGCUCACAGGCGCGACGUAAAGGCCCGGCGUCACCGGCCCGGCUUAACGGUGCAACGGCUGGCCUGGGCCUGCAACUCUGGGGUCCCGGCCGGGCUGGAGCGGCCGCCGGAGAGACCUGGUAGGCGGGGCGCUUGGGGCAGGAAGGGAGCCGGGGAGGGAAAAGCGCGACUGUGAUUCGUACGGCUGGGCCCGGACCGUGAAGGGGACCGGGUUGCGGCUGCCCUCACACCGACCAGGUGGGACCGUCGGACUGCGGCCGCCCUUGGCUCAACUGGGUCGCCGACCUUGUUGAGGGGCGACCACUGCGGGGAGACCGAGAGCCUGCGGCUGGCGUUUGAGGCGGAUGGCAGUGCCCUGAGCGCGGCGGCUGGGUCUCGGUGACACUGACGACGGGAGGCGCGGUCGGAAGAGCGCGGGGCCGUCGCCUCUGGCUUAACAUAGCAGAUGCGCUGAGACUCCAACAGGUGGCUCCGUGGCGCAAUGGAUAGCGCAUUGGACUUCUAGAGGCUGAAGGCAUUCAAAGGUUCCGGGUUCGAGUCCCGGCGGAGUCGUAACGCUUUUUUCCCUCCCCCCUACAAUUUAUUUUCUGCCUCCAUCAUGUCUCUUAUUUUUUUUUUUUGCUAAACGGUUUAACUUCUCUCUCAUUCCCUGCUCUCGCAGUUCACUGCAUUCGGUUCUUGCGGUCCUUUCUUAAGCGGCUCGCAGGGUCCCGAGCCCCUCAGCUCCCCGGGCCUCGGUGGCCCAGGGCCCAGCUCAGCCGACUGGGCAGUCGAUGUAGGUCCUGAGAAGAGCGGCGGCGGCGGCGGCGGCGGCGGCGAAGGAAAAGCGACACUGAAGCGAAGGCUCGCGGUUUCGGCCUAAAGGAAAGUGCAGGGGAGGCCCGGGUCUCGGGUGACACCCCCACGCCUUGAGCGGGACUGUGGUUGCGAGGGAGGGACGAGAAAACACGCCUACGCCCUGCGUGCGCUGUGCUGACUACCUCUCCAGCAUGGAGGCUUCCAGAUGAGCAGACACCCGAAUCCCAGCGGGAGCCCGUCAAAAAUGGAGAUUUCUGCCGUCACUCUGGGACUCUUAAUUCGGUCCGUCUGGGGUGGGGCCCAGGAAUCUGCAUUUCUGAUAAGGUCACCCGCUCCCCUCCCCCAUUAUUCCAGUGCAAAGAGGUCCUAGGCCCAGUGCCCAUCAGCUCCUCAAGACAGGAAUUACUAUAUCUUUUUCUGACAACUGUUAACUUUGUACAAGGUUAGCAAAUAAAUCCAGGAAUGAAUGGAAUCUUAAAACUCGUAAAACAACAAUGAAAGGUAAUUCACACAAAAGAUACAAAAUCCAAAAUUGUCAAAAAAGAUACAGGGAAAAGUAAACAUCCAUGUUAUUCCUAUAGUCCAGCCUUGCAAUUCUCUCCACAAGCCAUUAGUGGUAAUGGUUUCUUGGAAAUAUUUUCAGAUUUAUUUUAUGCCCAUAUCAGCAUUUUUAACAUCUUUUGUCAUAAAUAUGUCGUAAAUAACAAUGUUAUUGAUACAUAUCCUUUUAAAAACACAAUGGUAGUAUGCUAUACUGGCUUGUUUUACUUAUGAAUAUAUGUAGAGCUGCCUCGUUCCAUUGUACGUAUGUAUGGUAAUGAUUUAACAGUCCCUAAUAGCUGGACAUUUAGAUUGCCAGUAUUUUCCUAUUACAAACAAUGCAUCAGUGAACAUCCUUGUUCUUUUAUUAUUGUACACAAGUACAGGUACAUCUAUCUGUAGGAUAGAUUCCUAGAAAGUUGAAUUGCUGGUUCAAAGGUUUGUGCGUUCUUAAUCUGUACAUUUUUUAAUAUAUAUUGGCAAAUUGCCCCAUAGAGAUUGUAUCCAUUUUUCUCUCCUUAGCAAUGUGUGAGAGUGCCUGUUUCCCCACAACUCACAAAAGGUGGUUUCUAGCUGUGAUUUUAAUUCGUCUCUUAUAUUGAUUUUUUAAAAUUUGUAUUUAUAUUAUUAUUAUUAUUAUUUGAGACAGGGUCUUGUUCUGUUGCCCAGACUGGAGUGCAGUGGCACUAUCACAGCUCAUUGCACCCUCAACGUCCUGGGCUCAAGCAGUGCUUCCACCUCAGCCUCCCAAAUAGUUGGAAGUACAGGCACAUGCCAACACACCCGGCUAAUUUUAAAAUUUUUUGUAGAGAUGGGGGUCACUCUAUGUUGUCUAGGCUGGUCUUGAACUCCUGGACUCAAGAAAUCCUCCCAUCUUGGCCUCCCUAAGUGCUGGGAUGACAGACAGGAGCUACUACGCCUGGACUGUGUCUUUUAUUAUGAAUCAAGAUGAGUACCUUUCCAUACAGAGAAUAAUUUGUAAUUUUUUUCCUGUGAUUUAUCUGUUCUUGAGUUGUGUUCAUUUUUCUGUGGUAUGAUGGAAAACAGCCCUUUGUGAUAUAUGUUACACUUAUUCUUUUUCAGUCUUUUUGUCGUUUGACUUUGUUUAUGGUAUUUUGUUUUGUUUUUCUGUCUUACAGAAAUUCAUGAUUCAUGUAUUUGGAUUUAUCAGUCUUUUAUGGCUUCUAGGUUUGGGGCCAUAAUACACUCAGAUUAUUAAGUUAUUUCUUUAAUGGCUUUAUUUUUAUGGUUUUGUUUAUCUUUGCUUCAUCUGGAAUGUGUUUUUGUAUAAGGAGUGAAGUGGAAGUUUUGUCCCAAAAUCACUUUUAAUGAACACUCCUUCUUUUCUACACGAUGUCAUUUGAAAUGCCACAUUUAUAAUUUUUUUUUUUGAGACAGAGUCUUGCUCUGUUGCCCAGGCUGGAGUGCAGCGGCACAAAUCUCAGUUCACUGCAACCUCCACCUCCCAGGUUCAAGCAAUUCUCUUGCCUCAGCCUCCUGAGUAGCUGGGAUUACAGGUGCAUGCCACUACGCCCGGCUAAUUUUUGUAUUUUUAGUAGAGACGGGGUUUCGCUAUGUUGGCCAGGCUGGUCUGGAACUCCUGAGCUCAGGCGAUCCAUCUGCCUCUGCCUCCUAAAGUGCUGGGAUUACAGGCAAGAGCCACCACAUCCGGCCCACAUUUAUAAUUUUCUAAAUUCCCACAUGCAUAUGGGUUUCUGGAUUCUCUGCUGCAUAUGGGUUUCUGGAUUCUCUGCUCUAUUCCACUGACUUUUCUGUUAAUUUUGAUUCACCAGAACUGUGCUGUUUUACCAUUUAGUAGGGUCAGUCCUUGUAGGGUCCAGCCCCACAGGGUCAGUGGGUUUUCGCCCCAUGUGUGGAGACGAGAGAUUGUAGAAAUAAAGACACAAGACAAAGAGAUAAAAGACAGCUGGGCCUGCGGGACCACUACCACCAAGAUGCGGAGACCAGUAGUGGCCCGAAAUGCCAGGCUGCGCUGAUAUUUAUUGGAUACAAGACAAAGGGACAGGGUAAGGAGUGUGAGCCAUCUCCAAUGAUAGGUAAGGUCACAUGGGUCACGUGUCCACUGGACAGGGGGCCCUUCCCUGCCUGGAAGCCGAGGCAGAGAGAGAGGGAGAGAGGAGACAGCUUGUGCCAUUAUUUCUGCAUAUCAGAGACUUUUAGUACUCUCAGUAAUUUGCUACUGCUAUCUAAAAGGCAGAGUCAGGUGUACAGGAUGGAACAUGAAAGCAGACUAGGAGCGUGACCAGUGAAGCACAGCAUCACAGGGAGAUGGUUAGGCCUAGUCAGGCCCUCCACAAGAGGUAAAGGAGUAGAGUUGUCUCUAAACUCCCCUGGGGAAAGGGAGACUCCCUUUCCCAGUCUGCUAAGUAGCAGGUGUUUUUCCUGGACAGCGACGCUACCGCUAGACCAUGGUCUGCUUGGCAACGGGCGUCUUCCGAGACGCUGGUGUUACCGCUAGACCAAGGAGCCCUCUGGUGGCCCUGUCUGGGCAUAACAGAAGGCUUGCACUCUUGUCUUCUGGUCACUUCUCACUAUGUCCCCUCAGCUCCUAUCUCUGUAUGGCCUGGUUUUUCCUAGGUUAUGAUUAUAGAGUAAGGAUUAUUAUAAUAUUGGAAUAAAGACUAAUUGCUACAAACUAAUGAUUAAUGAUAUUCAUAUAUAAUAUCUAUGAUCUAUAGUAUAACUAUUCUUAUUUUAUAUAUUUUAUUAUACUGGAACAGCUCAUGCCCUCGGUCUCUUGCCUCAGCACCUAGGUGGCUUGCCACCCACAAGUCCUCUCUUGUUACUCUUUUGUUUUUUUAAACAUUUUUCUACUCAUUCUUGAAUUAUUAUUUUUCCUCAGUGAAUAAUAAUAGCACUUAUUUGGCAUUUGUUAUAUGACAGGUACUAUUCUCAGUGCUCUAUGUAUCUUCAUUUAAUCCUCCUGACAGCCCUACCAGGCAGAUACUAUUAUCCCCUUUCAUGGAAGAGGCAUCUGAGACAGAGAGGUUAAGUAACUUGUGCAAGGAUACACAGCUAAUAAGCAACAAGCCUGGAUGAGAACCCAGAAAGGCUGGGUCUAUGGGUAAAACCACAAUUCCUUAUCAUCUUUUCACAUGAGCUUUAGCUACAGCUAGUCUGGCUCUAAUUUUAGGAGGUAUUUUUGUUGGAGUCAUGUUAUAUUUAUAGAUUAAAAUAGAAUUGGGCCAGGUGCUGUGGCUCAUGUCUGUAAUACCAGCACUUUGGGAGGCCAAGGCAGGUGGAUUACUUGAGGCCAGGAGUUUGAGAUGAGUUUGGCCAACGUGGCGAAACCCCGUCUCUACAAAAAAUAUAAAAAUUAGGUGGGCAUGUUGGCACAUGCCUGUAAUCCCAGCUGCUUGGGAGGCUGAGGCACGAGAAUCGCUUGAACCUGGGAGGUGGAGGUUGCAGUGAGCUGAGAUCGCACCACU